AUUAACUCAUCCUCAAGUAAUCAAACAUACCAGUAAUACCCAAUAAUCACCCAAAUUGAGGGGGAAAAAAUAAUUUUUUUUUAAUAUGGACAAUGCCUCGAAUUAGUCAAGAAAUUCCUCUGUGAAUUUAAAAUUCAAGUUUCUAAUAAGACAAGAAAGCAAGCAAGCAAACAAAAUGGAAAAGAAAUUAAAUUUAAAACCAAUAAUAACUUUUUGAAAGUAGAAUACAUAGUGGAGCUCUUGGUCAUUAGUAACCCAACCUUGACCGGCACCUAAAGCGGUGUACUUAGAGACGACGUGCUGCGACUAAGCAAGCUGAGCAUAAAUCCUUGGCAGCUGAUCCACCGACGUGUCGACCCUCAAGUAAGCCACGUGUGCUGAGAGUAGCUGCUCGUACAACGAAUGCGAACAAUAUCUCCGCCUCGCACCUCGCAUUCUGCCAGUUCACAGCUCUGUCGGCGCCGCUCUCAACCACCACUUCUUCGCGCUUGUUAUUAGUAUUGGCCUUGUUCAUGUUCUGACUGGUGGUGUUCUUCAAAUCGGCGGAUUCAACGACGGCGAUGAUGAAGUCGUUGGUAGGAGUGACGUGGUCGAUGAGUGGGCAUUAUUUGUUUUGGACUGAAGUUGAAUGGUAAAGUGAAGAUGGGUUUGAUAAAGUGAAGGUGCGGUGUCAUUUAUUUCACUCGAUUUCAAGCUUUGUAUAAUUGUGCAUUCUGAAUACACAUUGAUUUGUUUAAUCAAUCACUGUCAAUUAGCUUUUUUAAGAUUUAAAAAUUAUAAACUUUUGCAAUUACAAAAUUAUCCCCGUUUACUAAACGGCUCCCUAACGUUUUUACACGUCUAGGGGUGCUAUAUGUCAAUAUAUGCAUACAUUCUAUCUAAGUGUAGUAAGACCAAACCUCAAGGGAGGUAUCCAAAAAUUACCCAUUUGGAAAUCAACCGCAAACAUUGGACAAUUCAAAAUAUUUAUGAGAAAUAAUAAAAUGAAUACAAAAGGAAUAUUCUUAUCUUUUUUUUUCUCUAAAAUAUGACAUCUAAUCCUAAAAUCAUUUUAUUCUUUUAACAUUAGGAUGACAUUUAGUCAUAAUUUUAAUGCAUUAUCCUUACCACUAGCUUCCACUAUAUAAACAGCUCAUUCAACCAAUAUAAGGGGACUUUUCCCUUCACUUCUCUCUCUCUCUCUCUCUCUGGGCAUAUUUUUACAUCAUCGCCCACUUCUCCAUUUUUGGGAGAUAAUUUUCUAUUCUCCACCUUGAUCAUCUUCUCUACCAUAUUAUUACCUUCCACAUAUUUAUACAUCAUCUUCAUCUUCAUCAACACCAAACAUCUCUACAUAGCUAUCUAGUUUGUGUUAAUCAUAUUUAUUUAAAUUAUAUUAUUAUAUUAUUUAAUAAUAUUACAUUUAUUAAAAAUAAUAAUAUUAAAAUUAUUUAAAAAUAAUAUUAUUAUAUUCAUAGAGAAUUAAUAAUAUUACCAUNNNNNNNNNNNNNNNUGUUUCAUUUACUGCUGUACCGUACAUCCGCCUUGGCCGUACAGCAGUAAAAUUAAUAAUAAAAUAAAUAAUUUAUUUUACAAAUAUAAUUUUUUAUUCACUUUGCAAUUAAAAACUAUAAUUUUUUAAAUAAAGGUAAAAUUACAAUUUUAAACAAUUCAUUCCCAAUCUAAGACUAUACAUAAACGAGAUUCUGAUUUCUAUUCUACACUCCUAUUCUAAUGUAAGUAAACAACCUGCUUUCACUCCACUCCACACUCCCAGUGUUAGGAUUUUCACUCUAAUUUGAGAAGUCAAUGUUACCUAAGAGUAAAAAUUCAGAGAAUCAGACUUGUAUAAAUAUGAGUUAGAAAAUUAGGUUGUUGGGAUAAGUUGUUAAUAGUUAUAUCAUGUAUUUCUUUAAGGGGUGGGGAGACUUAUCACAUUCUCCACCCCAUUAAAAAUUUCACCUUCAUUCCCCAUCUCAUUCUCUAAUAAAUUCAAUAGGGGUGGAGAUGGGAAAUCCCCACAUGAGGAAUGAUUUCUUCAUCCUUACCUCAUUCUCCAUUCAUUUAUUUUAUAGUAAAUAUAGACAAAAAAAUUUCAAUAAAUUAAAAAUUAAAGACUUAAAUAAAAUCAUUAUCACAUUAUAAAGUAUUUAAAUUAUUUAAGAAAAUCUCCAAAUAUUUGAAAUGAUAUCAAAAUUAAACAAUCUUUGAAGAGAACAGCAUCUUAAGAGAGAAAAGAAAACAUAACAAUAUUUUAGGAUUAAAUAAAAAUUAUACUGUAGGGUUUUCUUUUAGUUAUAGCCCAUCUAUAUCAAGUAAAAAUAAAAGAAAAAUUUAUUAACUAACAUUGCAUUGAUAAAACAACAAUUAUUAAAUAAAAAUUAGAAAAAUAUUUAUAUAUAAUAGGGAUGGGGACAAGGUGGGGAGUAUAAAACCAAACCCCACCUUGUUAAGAAUUUAGGAAUUAUUUUUCUCUCAUUCCCCAAAAUUUACCUCAUUUGGUGUGGGGGCCCCAAACCCAUUGAGGAUUUUGCCAUCCCUACUUCGAGGUGUAUUUAAAUUAUUGUUUUUGUCAAGAUAAGUAACUUAAUUCCUAAUAUACUGGUUAUAUAUGAUUAUUUUGAUACUAUUAUAAUUACAUAAGUUUUAUAGUUACUUUAUGUAAUUGUUUAUUCCAAUGUCUUUAAAUCUAAAAAUUAUAUUCUAUGGUUUUAAUAAAUAUAUUAAAUGCCUUUUAUAUGUGUUAAUCGUUUUAUUUAAUGAUUGUCUUUUAUGAAUUAGACUUUAAUAAAUUAAAGUGUAGAAUACGUUGCAAGCCAUUAUGAUACUUAAAUAAUUUUAUUUUGUAUUCAAUAUAAAUGUCUUAUUUGCUUUUAUGAAUACAAUUAAAUAUUUGACUUAUUAUCCAUAAUUAUUUUGAUUCUGACUUUGAUUGUAUUAUACGAUAUAUAUGUUCUAUACCAGUGAAAUAUAUUACUAAAUGCCUUUUAUAUGUGUUAAUCAUUUUAUUUAAUGACUAUCUUUUAUUUGCAUUUAUAUGCGUUUCUAUUUUGAGUGUGCACAUGAUAUUCUAAUUAUAAUUCUGUUUCUAAUCGGAUCACUGAGAGUAUAAAUGACACCAAGUGACAUGAGAUAACAUUUUGUUUUCUGUGUGUAUAUGUUAUACGAUUUGUUUUCAUAAUUAAUUAUACUUUUGAUAUUCUGAAUUAUUUAUGGAUUUAUAUCCUUCUAUUGUAAUAUGUCAUUUUGUAAAACUUAUAUUUCUAAUAUAUGUUUUGAUAAAAAAAAAAUUGCAAUACUUUUGGUACCCAAUAACCUAACCGUGUUGGAAAUAGUUUUACUUACCGAGUUUAUGACUCACCCGUUGUCAUUACUUUUUUGUAGAUUGAGUAAUUUGUUGAGAGAUUUGCUUAUCUUUGAAGUUAGAAAUUUAUCUCUUUUUGCUAUUUGAAUAAGAGAAUGAUGAACUUUUGUUUCAUUUAAGUUUGUUUAUCUUCUAAACUUCUAAUUGGAAAGUUUUGAGACUUUUGUUAUAUUUAUGGUUUUGGGAAAAAAAUAUUUAGUAUUGGGCUUGUGGAUUUGUGGAUUUAUUUGAAUAAAAUUUGAGAUAUUUCAAUUUAAGGUUCUUGUGUAAAAAUUAUGAUUUGUAAGUAAUCUCUUUUACCAUGUGUUAGAUUUGGAAUGUUACAACUUCUAUCUAUAUCUAUAUAUAGAUUUAUAUAUGUUGUUUAUAAUGGAAAGAUGGAUAGAAGUUUCGACUUACAGUUGACUUGUAUGGUAAGAUUUUAGGCUAAUUAUGGUUUCUUUAGUUUAGAAGACUCAUGUCUUUAUAUAUAUAUAGCUAGGAUGCCAGCUUCUUUAGAGUAUCUCCAAAAAGCUCUAUUAAUUUCAUUUUUCAAAUAUCUAUUUGCUUACUUAUGUGGCAAAAGGGAGAGUAAAAAAUAUAUUAUUCCCUAAAAGACUCUUCAAAUAAAAAUAAAUUAAUAUUAUUUUAAUCAAAUAAAUAUUUCUUCAAAGGAAAAAUAAAUAAUAAUUAAAGUAUUUCUCUUUCUCUAAUAAAAAGUAAUAAAAUAUAAAAUAAAGAAGGAUAAAGUAACUGUAUAAAAUUGAAGAUAAAAAAUCUUAAUUGGAGUGUCUUUAGGAGUCUUAAAUAUAUAUAUGACUCUUCAAAUAAGUAAUAAAAUUUUAUUUGAAAAAUCUUUUGGAGAUGCUUUAAGAUCAUUAAUAAUAACAAUUAAUGAAUCGCAUUGUGUCCAUAGAUCAAGCGGCACGGGUAUUAGAGAUAUAUAGCGAUCAUCCUUUACAUUCGAUCAACAUGUAUACUGCAGG
rnacentral:lncRNA from 1 species